ACUCCAAGAGAAGAUAUUUUUUUAGAAGCAAAGAAAGCCACAAGAAAAUUCAUUUAUUGAGGACAAAUUAUUUGUGUUUUUAAAAUCAUAAAUGUUGAAGUUUCAUUUCACAGAAAGUACUCAUCCUGGGUUAACUAAAUCAACACAAAUGUAAAUAAAGGUAUGUUUGAAUUAAACAAUUAGGCUUGAUUUUCUUGUGUCUUGCAUCUCACAGCAGGUGUUCCAACACAGCUAAGACUUGGAUGUGCUGACACCUAUAAUCAACACAAAGGGUCUCUUUUAAACUAACAAAUCAUCCCCUCAGUGGAAACAUAAACAAAACCCUAAUUGCAGAUUUUGCUAACUAUUCUCCCCUGCUGUUAGUGUCUUAAAUACUAGUUAGUGUGUAGUGUUUAAGCAGUAACCUCAGCUGGAUUUAUAAUUGGCAAAAGAUAAGAGCUAAUGCUCUAGAUUCAGUGUUACUGUGUACUCUUAAACUGAGCCUAUACUAAUCAAUGAUUUCCUAAUUACCAGCUAGUAUCAAGUACCUCGCAACAAUUUCUUAAUUGAAGGAGACAAGCACAUUUAUUGGUAAUAAAGUGCCCGACCAUCCUAAGCACUUUUAUUUUUAUUAACUUGCUUAAUCGUCACAACAUACAUUUGAGGUAGAUACUAAUAUUAUUCCCACCUCACAGAUGAGGAAAUCUAGGCAUCACAGCUACUAGGCAGUAAAGGUGAGAUUCGAAUCCAGUCUAUCUAUGUCUAGGGUGUGUGGCUUGCCUUCUCACCUAAGACUAAAGAUGUAAACAAGUAAAAGUUAACUACUCUUCCAUUUUAGACCAAUAAGUUGAACGUAUCUGCUGAAAAGGUCCUUCAUGCAAGCAUCCCAGUGUUUAUGCAUCAUCCAGGAAAGAGGUUCUAUAUUUUUAGGACCAUAGUUUGCAAGUCAUGGCACAUCCCUGAUUAAAAUGAUUGUUGGGGGAAUAAAUGAAACCUAAAUACAAAAAGAAUGGACACUUCUGUUUCUCGACGUGAAUGUGGUUAUCAAUAUGCUUUAUGGAUACAGUCUUCUAUUCCCUGAAGUAUCCUUGGAUUACAAAGUCAGAACUUUGAAAAGGUCAUUAACUCUUUCAGGUAUCAUGCUAACGGAAUCAAUUUAAAUAGCGCCACAAUGUUAGUCCAAGACUAGUUCUCUCGUUUAAACCCUUGCUACUCUGUCGUGGCUAUCAGCUACAACACCAACCUCACCUGGGGGCUUGUUAGAGAUGCAGAAUCUCUCUCAGGCAUCAAGUCCCAGACCUGUUGAAUCCUAAUCCGCACUUUAACAGGAUAACCCUGGUGAUAUUUAUGCAAAUACUGUCUAAAAACAAGUGGUUUAAAUCAUUUUAUUUAAAGAGGAAAAUAAGAAUUGGAUAUGUUCCCCUCUCUUUCUUAUUUGUACAAAAGAAAAAGUAAACAAAUCUUAGCAGAAAAUAAUAUGACAUCAUAGGCAAUUGGAUUAACCAAUGAGAUUCUCAUAUUUUUAUUUUUACUUGAUUUAUUACUCUUUUUUUUUUGGAAGAUGUGAAAUAGACUAGUUAGGCUUGAGGUGUUAACUAUGUACUACUGUGGUUUUCAAUUCUCUUUAUCCGUUUUUUCCCCCUAAGACCCACUCCUUCCCAAUUAACAGUCAUUGUGGUUCAGGUGGACUAAAACCCAUCCUUCACUCUAGAUUUGAUGGUAGGUUCUAGACCUUGGCUCAGCCAAUGAAGGUCUACAUUGAUUGGUCCAGGAGUGACACGUGAUCCCACAUUGACGAAUGAGAGCUUUCCGAGGGCUUUUUAUCCCACCCUUUAAGGGAAACACUGUUUGUUCUGGCUGAGAUGGUCAUCACUAAGGGCCAAGGCAGCCUGGAGUUUCCAGCUACCAUCUUUGCCUUUCCAAGGGAGGCAAACCCUGCCUGAGGGUGAAACCAACAGAGAAAAAUGCAGACCCAAGAGACAGAGAGAUGCUUGGUGACUUUGGUCAGAUACCUGGAUUCAUUCACAGCUUUGGAUUCAUCACAAGGAGUUUUCAGGUGUAUGACUCUACACACUGGUUGGAUGUUCGAGAGCUAAGGAGGAGGCAGAGGAAGGAAGGAACCAAGCAAGUUAUUGGAAUCUCAGCACAUAGCCGGGUUUCAAGGUGUGGAAAUUGUCGACCCCCGUAGGGCACACAAGGUGAUGUUUGAGGCCAUCUUUUCUUUUGGGCAAAAUCACACUUAUCUCUCUAUGCUGGACAAAAUUCACUUGGGUGAUUAUGGAAAAGAGGAUUUGAAUGACUAUCGAUUUUAGUACACCUCGACUUAUACCCUACACAACCCUAAAAUGGCUUAGUUGAGUGGAAGAUCGUCAAAGAAGCACACGUGUAUCAUCAGACACUCUCUAAAGGACUUGCUGGCCAAGGCUCAGAACUCCACUGAAAAGACACUCAAUAAUCUCUUUGUCCACUUCCAAUUCAGUGACAUUUUUCUCCUGACAUGAAAGAGAACUCUCAGUUUUAAAUUCUUAGGCAUUUAGGAAGCCAGUGAAAGAUGAUCUUCAAUAAAACAGAGAGUAAUUCAAGAAAAUGAAUUUUCUAGAGGAUAGGUGAUUCCUCCGGUUCCAUUGCUUGAUUGCUGCAGGAGAGCAGAAAAGCUUCAAGAUGACAGCUCAGCAGCAUUCACAGAAGACAACCAAUCAUUAGGAGCAAUGUGAAAAAAAUUUAAGUACAAUUAUAUAUUGUCUAUAUACAGGAUCACUGGAGAAAAUUAGUCCCAGACUUUGACAGAUCUGCUGCUGUAUUUAGAAAAGAAGCAGUAGAUACCCAGAAAGCUAGACAAAUGAAAUAAUGCAAUUAUUAAUGCCAGGGAAAAGGCUUUUUCAUAAGAAUAUAAAAAUAAAUACAAUACAAUGCUUGGCUGAUAAUAAGGCAUAUUUGUAUAUCACAAUAAAAUAAUGACUUAUUUGACUUAAUGCAUGCUUAUUAUGUGACUACAUUGGGCUAUUGGAUGCUGGGGAAAAGUACUUGAAAUAAGAGAGCUAAACCAUACUAUAAUGAGAAGUUAAUAAAUAAUGUCAAAAUUUGAUAGAUUAGAAAAAAAAACCUUAUGAACAUUACUUCUUAAAAAUAUUUAAAAUGCCUGUAAAAAAAUGAUUGAAAUAUUUGCAAAAUUGUCUUGGGGAAGAAGAUCUAGGUGAAGUGAGAAUUGAAGAGUAUGCCCUUAGCUUUCCUUAAAAGGCUUAGCUUUAUUUGAAUUCUCAAAUAUGUGUAUUUAUAAUAAUGACAGAAAUGCAAAACAAUUUAAAAUGAAAUGAACAAAAAUAUAACUACACAGUGUAUGUAGUAGAAGUGGGAUUAAUAUUGGUUGGUAAAGUUGGGAAAUUAUUCUUAGUUCAUAGGUAACAUUUGAUUUGGUAUUUUUGAGAUUCAGAAUUUUCUUGAUGGAAAAAGAAAUAAGGACUUUUUUUCAGUAUAGAAAAUAUUAUGUGAGCUGGUCUCUGCUAUUUAGAUAAGUAGUUUUACUGAGUUAUUAAAUAUAAUUUUGUAUUCAGUUAUCUCUGACAUAUCCAGACUACUUCCAUAAAACAUAUCUAUAUGUAAUGAAAUGCACGAAGAUUACAAAAUUUAAUCCCUGUAUUCUUGCUUUCUGUAAAUUACAUAGAUUUAUGAGUGACUUUUCUGAUAGUUUAACUCGCAUUGUUCAGGAGAGAACAAAAAGGAGAAUGACUUACAUGUGGAUUGACAUAAAGAAUCUCCACAUUCUUGUAUGGAAAGCAAAUCCUUAAUAUAUGCAAGCAUAUAUUUUCUUAUAAGCAGAUGUUGACAUUACAAAAUAACAAGUAAUUGAGCACAGAUGGUAUGCUUGGCAUACUAAAAAUGCUUAAAGGAGAGCACUUAGCACAGAUUUUCUUUGCAGUUAGAAUUCUUUUGGCUUUAAAUAUUCCAGAUCUCUUUCUCACUGAGCGCCUCUUUGUAAAGGGAGUGUUCUGAGCCGGUAUGAAAAUAAUAAGAUACUAAAUAUUAAAUCGUUAAAUUACAUUUAUUUGAUGAAAUAAAAGUGAUUUGUAUUCCAAAAAUCAACCUCAAAACAAUGAUGCUACAUAGCUUAAGUAUAAAUAUACAUUAGCAUUAUGUAUAAGUUGCAUUCCAAUCUCUGUAUUUUUAUUUCCAAUUUUUAUUUUAGUGAUAUGAUUAUUACAUUCAUUUCUCUUAGUCAUUGAGCAAAUUAAGCUUAAACUUGCUGUGAUGAUAGUUUAAUAUUGCUGAUAAUUGCAGUGAAUUAGAUUCACAGGAGAAUAAAAUAGUGUCUACUUUCUCCUAUUAAUGUUUCCUGUUGAAAUGUGUCUAACUACUUAACCAAAAUACUAAUGAGAGAGAACAUUGAGGAAAAAGUAAACUCUUAAUUCAAGCUAGGAGAUAGAUAAUGGCUUCAAAUUAGCAUUUUAUGUAGCAAAAUAGUGCUAAUUUUCCUUUUUAAAAUAUAACACAAAGACAACCACACCAGUUUCAUAGCAUUGAUUUCUAAAAAUGUUGAAAGAUAUAUGGGAAGCUUUUUUCUCCUUAAGAAAGAGGAGAGAGGGGAGACUAUAUCACAAAUUUCUGGGCUGUGCCAGAUUUUUUGUGUUCAAUUGACAAAGGACUUGAAUUAUUUUAUGCCCCAAAGCCAUCUCUUCCACGCAAAGUUUUUCCCGUUGACUUCAAAGUGGGAGGCACAGGAGUGCAUAUUAACAUUGAAAUGGAUGAAAAACAGAUUCAAAUUUUUGAAUGAGCAUAACAAGUUGAAAGGCAGCUCGUAGAAAUAGAUCAGUCAGUCUGACAGACCAUUUGAAUCUCUAUUAUAUUAAAUUCAAAUGAACAUUUUUUUUUUUUUUUUUUUUUUGCCGUGAAUGUGGAAAAUCUCAGACAGUAGAAAUGCAUAGUCACAAGACGGGGGGGGGAAAGAGAAGCAUUUAACUCCUUAGAUACAAUGAAAUAUUACUGUGACAACGAAGCAGGCAGAAUACUCUUUGCAUCCCAUGCUAGCUACAUCUCAGGAUAUAAAGGGAUUCUGAGGACCUAACAGUUCUUAAUCAUUCUCAUAGACAAUUUUUUAAAAAUUAAGACCCUAGAAGAUAACUCUGGUGUUCUCCUGAGUUUACAUUUUGGACAAGGAAUGCCUCAUGUAAAUCUCUUAAGAGAAAAGAGGAUGGCAUGGAAGGUGUAUUUGAGGAGCUUUGCUUAACAUUCUUCAUCUGCAUAUCAAAAUUUUCUUUCAACUCUAGGGUAAAGGAUUGCUAAUUAACUUGAUUCAUCACAUAUUUAUUGAACAUGUUAUGACAGUGAACUUGUUGCUGCAAAACAAUCAUUGCAAAAGCUGUAUUCACCAAAAUUUGAGGCCACUAUAAUACUGGAGAAGAGAAAGUAUGGAUCAACAGGACACAAAAUUUGAAAAAUUCCAAAAAGAUAGGAUUGGCUAAUAGGAUUGGGUAAAUUUUAAAAUCAGAACUGAGGACUCUGCAGCUGAAGCGUUCAGAGUGAGGGAUUUCACCCAUCACCGUGCCAGCUAAGCUCCAAGUUUAACUAGUACCAAUUGCAGAAAGAGCAUCAUUAAAGGGAUCAUUAAAGAACUGCUUUCCGAAUAGUUGUCCUUCUCCUCCUUAUUGCCAUGGAAACAGAAGAGCUAUUUAGGAGAGGGAGAUGACAGAGCACUAUGGCUCCAUCCCCUUCUAACAGUGAUACUCAACCGUGGAGGCAUUAUUGGGAUUAGAAGGGGAGCCUUUUUACAAAGGUCGAACUCUCAGUCUGCCCUCCCCAGGUAGUCUGUCUGAUUGAAUUGGUUUUUACAGAAUCCAGAAGUCAGUAUUUAUUUAUUUAUUUUUUUUGGCCAUCUCUGCAGCAUAGAAAAGU